GACGAACGCUGGCGGCGUGCUUAACACAUGCAAGUCGAGCGGUAAGGCCCUUUCGGGGGUACACGAGCGGCGAACGGGUGAGUAACACGUGGGUGACCUGCCCUUAGCUCUGGGAUAAGCCUGGGAAACUGGGUCUAAUACCGGAUAUGACUCCAUGACGCAUGUUGUGGGGUGGAAAGCCUUGUGCGGCUAGGGAUGGGCCCGCGGCCUAUCAGCUUGUUGGUGGGGUGAUGGCCACCAAGGCGACGACGGGUAGCCGGCCUGAGAGGGCGACCGGCCACACUGGGACUGAGAUACGGCCCAGACUCCUACGGGAGGCAGCAGUGGGGAAUCUUGCGCAAUGGGCGAAAGCCUGACGCAGCGACGCCGCGUGAGGGAUGACGGCCUCGGUUGU
rnacentral:rRNA from 1 species